CUUAAUUUCUAAUCUUCUCUAGGAUCUCAAGGAUCUUGAGAGGAGAAGAAGGGAAAGGAGGAGUGCCACAUGUGACAGCACUCUCUUCUAGGUUAUGGCACUUCACUCUUACAAUACCCAUCAAGGAAGGGACAAGGAUCCAGAAGUUUAUGGGCAUGAGAGCCAUUUGAGAUAGAACUGGGAACAGGAAGCCCACUGU
rnacentral:lncRNA from 12 species